rnacentral:lncRNA from 1 species
CCCCAUCCCACCCCUCUAGGUUGUCCCAGAGCACCGAUUUGAGCAAAUUCCCACUGGCUAUUUUACGUUUGGUAACGUACAUGUUUCCAUACUACGCUCUCAAUCCGCCCCGCCCUCUCCUUGCCCGACUGUGUCCACAAGUCUUCUCUACGUCCCUGUCUCCGUGGCUGCCCUGCAGAUGGGUUCAUCAGUACCAUCUUUGUAGAUUCCAUGCCUAUGUGUUAAUGUAUAAUAUUUAUUUUUUUCUUUCUGACUUACCUCACUCAGUAUAAUAGGCUCUAGUUUCACCCACCUCAUUAGAACUGACUCGAAUUUGAUGUUGGCCUUUUUGCAGGUAGAAGAGGUUGAGUGGAGACCGUCAGAGGACUUGCUGGCAGGUGGAGAAUGUGGUUACCACCUCCCCCUAACAGCAACCCGAGUAGAAGGAGCCAGGGUGGGCUCAGAGGUGAGAGCCUCUACUGUGGAAGUCACUUUAUUUCAAAGCAGUGUUUCUCAACUUGACCUGCACAUUUAAGUCACCCGAGCAACUUAAUACCGAUGUCCAAGCCCCAUCCCAAACCAACUGCACUAGGAUCUUGGCAGUAGCUCCCAGCCGUCUGCGCAUUUUAAAGUGCCUUGGGUGAUUCUGAUGCACACCAAGGAUGAAAAACCGUUGCUAGCAACUGACCAGUGGCAACUCUCUCG